rnacentral:lncRNA from 1 species
CAUAAAACAGCAACAGCUACAGUCUAUAGUUAUUCCUAACCAAGCCAGUUGGAUGGUCAGGAAGAUUAUUGAAGCUACUGUUACAUUGCAGCAGUCUCAGUUGAUGAAUCAAUCAGUGUGCACUAUAAAGAUGAUAUACCUACACCAGAUUGGACAAUUGCCUAGAGUUUUGUGGAAGAAUUUAACCAUCCAAAACUAUGACAGACCCAA